rnacentral:lncRNA from 1 species
UUUUAUUUUAAGAUUUCAUUUAUUUAUUCAUGAGAAACAGAGAGACAGAGAGACAGAGAGACAGAGAGAGAGAGGCACAGACACAGACAGAGGGAGAAACCUGCUCCAUGCAGGGAGCCUGAUGUGGAACUUGAUCCCAGGUCUCCAGGAUCACGCCCUAGGCUGCAGGUGGCGCUUAAACCGCUGAGCCACCCAGGCUUCCCAAGAGAUCGAGUUUUUAAUACCAUUGUCCUUAUCUUCACAAACCUCUGACAUUUGAACAUAUUAAAACACAAAAGUCAUGCAUCCUUCUUCUUAUCCGGUAGUCAGUGAUUUUCCUCCCAAUAAGCCCGGUCUCUCAAGUUUGGGCUGCCAUGCUUGAAGUCAUUUUAUCUAUCCUGUCUUGUCUGCCUUCUGCACCUCCUCUCCCUUACAUUUACCCCAAGGGGACCUUGAACUGCAAUGGAUGUUCAGUAAGCUUAUAGCAAUAGAAUUGCAGAUUGACCAUUCUGAUCACCUUGAGCAAUGGAGUAAUUAUCACAUAGGAAAUAAUGUCAUCUCUCCUAGGCUACAUUACUAGAACUGCAUACUGGUCAAACAUAUAGGACAAUAGGAAAAGUUAUUAAAAAGUAGAUUGAUAUAUCAAUCUAACAAUUGGUUGUCAUUUAUCUGACAAUUCACUUUCAGCUCUAUUACUGAAUGCAAAAAGCAAAGCAUUCCCCAUACAUCACUCCUUUUCUCUAACUGACUGAAAACAGCUGUUGAUGAAUGGUACAUCUUGUUCUAUCUGGGCAUGUGCUGUCACAUCUCAGUAGCAACAGGUGGCAGUGUCUUCCUGUGUCACCCCCUUCUCAGCCUUGCAGGCGGAAGGAAAGGGUAGAACACAGUUUUGUUCAAGGAGAAAGACUGGUCACUUUAAGAAGCUUUCCUUCUUCAGCCAGUUUAUAUGUUGUAAAUUUAAACCCUCAGAAUGUCCAAGAACUGAGCUAAUAUCCCAACUUUAUGGAUGGAAAAACUGCACAUUUAAAAAGUAAACAACUUAUGCAAAGGCACGCAGGCAGUAAGCUGCAGCACUGGGAUUUAAAAUCUGAACUAUGAUUAUAUAGUUAAAGAUCAGUGAUUUUCCACUUCACUACUUCAGUACCCACUACAGUAUCUUACUCAUUUUUUUUUUCAGAUUAAAAAUGGAGUAAGCAAGUCAAAUUCCAUAGACAGCAAAUACAUGGAGCUAGAAUAAUGGGUGUACUCUGCUUUGAUGUGAUCAUCUACUGGGAUGUUUAAAACUGUGUUCAGAUACUUAAACAUGUAGUAGCAGUGACAUAAUUUCCUUAAUAAAUCCCUUUACUCUUGAUUUCCUUAGAUAGUUCAUUGAGGCUAGUAGCUUUCAUUAUGAUUUUAAUAUCAGGAUUAUAUUUUGAAAGGCAGUAUAUGUAUACUUGUUAAGAACAUGAGAUUCAAAAUCAGACUUAUUUCCUGGGUCCAAAUUUCAGAGCAGCUAUAAGUUCACAGUAAUGUAAACUUCAUUAAAUUUCUCUGUGUCCCACUUUUCUCAUCUGUAAAGUAGGAAUAAAAAUAAUAUCCUCCAGUAUAAUUGACAGAAAUUAAAUAACUUAAUAUAUGUUAAUCCCCCAAUUUAUAGUAAAUACAUUUUUUUUUCUUUUGGGGAGAGAGAAAGAGAGUGUGUGUGGGUGGGAGAGAGAGGGGCAGAGGUUGGGAGAGAAUAUUAAGCAGGCUCCAGGCCCAGCAUGGAGCUUGAUGCAGAGCUCUAUAUCACAAUUCUGAGAUCAUGACCUGAGCCAAAAUCAAGAGUCAGAUACUUAACUGACUGAGCCACCCAGGUGCCCCAGUAAAUACUAUUUCAAUGUUUGCUAUUAUUAUUUUUAAAUUUUGUAAUAUUUGUGAUUAGAAGGUGAAACUAUUUGAGGUUUCUGGCCAUGCUCUCUAGAAAUAAAUAAUACUUUGGAGGAUUUCUUUCAUAUCAUUUGUAAUGCCCACUUGACAAGUCUGCCCUAAGCAAAUGAGGUAGUAACCACAAAGGCCAAAUUAUACCGACCUCACAGUCCUUAGAAAUCUGUGGUUAUCUUAGUAUGCUGAGCCUUCUCUUUUUAGUACUAAAAGAUAGUAGAGCUGGGAGAAUUUGUCAUGUAAUGUCUAAAGAUGCCAAGCUUACCAACUUCUGAUUGUUAAAAGAAGGGUGAGUAGAAUUAUGAUUAAAAAGAGAGGUUUGAAAGGUUCUUCACUAAAAGUAAUCUACAAGACUAAACAAGCGAUUGUGGGUAAAUUAGUAUAGUAUAUACUGUGCACUCCAUAAUCUACCGAUGCACACGAGCAUAUUGAAGGGUCUGAGACUUCAUCCAGGAUAUAAACAUGUAUAACUUUUUUUAAAGCCAGCUUUUUCAAAUGUAUGUGUGUUGUGUGUGGGUUUAUGUGUAUGCAAAACUUAACCAGUAAUAUUUAUUAACUACUCUUCAGAAGGACACAUUUUGGGAACUGUUCCCCAGUUUAGAUUUAAUUCUACCAUUGGACAGAUGGGUUUUCCUGACGAGUGAAGUAGAAAAUGAUAAACAACAACAAACUGAGACUUUGCUUAGUGCACAACAUUUCACUAAGCACCUUUCAUGUAAUCAUCUCACUAAAUAUUCAUCACAAUCCAAAGUUUAGGUACCAUCAUUAUUCUCAAUUCCUAGAUGAGCAAUUUGAGAAGAGAAUAUUAAUAAUCAUCUUAAGGUCAGAUGGCUAGUAAGAAGUAGGGUUUGAAUCUAAUGCAGUCUGGCUGUAAAGGAUACACUAUUAGACUCUUGUUUUUUCCCUAGGCAGGGAAGACAAGUGGUGUGAUGGCCUGGACAUUCAGGAAUACAUUCAAGAGAAGGAUGAUCUCAGAACUGGCUUCCUGCAAGAAGUCAGGAAGCAUUAGACAUGGAAUCAUAAUGAGAACGUCAUAGAUUUUUGGAAUUCUGAGAUUCCUUUUGCUAUUAUUUGUAGUUUUAAUACUACUGAGUAACAAAUAAAAAAAUUGAAAAAAAAUGUACAGGUUUAAGUAGUAGGACAUAGAGAAGGAAAAAAAAUGAAUAAAUAUAUAGUGAGUGCCUAAGUGCAUUCUUAGGUGCUAUACAUCUGCUCAUCACGGGCAUGAAUUAUUUCUUGUUUUAUCUCAUAAUCCUAUAAAAUAGGGAUAAUUUGUCUAUCUUGUAGAAGAGGAAAAUGAGGCUGAAAAUUAUUAGGUCAGUUGCCCAAGGGAAGGAAGAAACAGAGGUGGCUUUGAAAUUCAGAGGGACUGAUUGAGAAAUUUCCCCUGUAACAGUCUGAGAAAGUGGAGUACAUAGGAGACCCUGUUUGACUCAUGAGUGAGAGGAACCUAAAGAAGGAAAGUAAGUGUUAGCAGCCUACAAAGGAAGUAAAAGUGGAUUUCCUACUAGAUUGGCUGAGUGUAAAGAACAGAGAUGUGAAAAACAUUAUGUGAAGAAGUAGAAGAAAAAAGGCUCCCUUUCAGUGGAUAAAAUGCAAAAAAGGCACCCAAAUAUAUAGAGAUAAAUUGCAGUAUGACAGUCCUUUCCUCUAGCUGGUGUAGUAUCAUCCCAGGAUCCACUGUCUGGCAUAAGGAGCAUACUUACUAUCUCAGCUUUCCUCCUCUCCUAGAUGCUUCUGAACAAGGCACAACCUGAAAAACCCGUAGGAAAUAUCCCUGGACAUAGAGAGCCAUACUUGAUAUUGACACGUGAACCCAAGGCUUUAACCAUAGAAAAAUCAGCUUCCAUCACAUAUCUCCUCUUGUUUUUAUAUCAUAUCAUAUAGCUAGCUUCUUACUAUGGAUGCUUUACACAGCUGCUACUACUUUCUCCUAUAUGGCAUAUUUUAAGGUUGAGAGCAACCACAGGAAAAUAAAAGCUUAUCUUAUAUUGGAAAACUUAUUGUGCAAUGGAAAAAUGACCUCAAGUGCACUCAGUAAAAGUUAUAUAAAAUCAUAAAUCCUAGCCACAGCUGCAGUGUAUUAGAGACUACACAUUACAUCCGUAAAUAAUUGCAAAUCCAUUCUGGGUAUGAUUUUAGGUGCUAUAGGAGACAGUUUUGGAAACAUAUUUAAAGAAGCACUGCUGAUGCCCUAACUGCAAGAAAGGCAGGUCACAUAUCACAUAACCAACCAUACACCUGCUACAUUUCAUAGAUGUGCUAAAAAGAAGCACCUUUAUAAUUUGCAUCUCAAUGUUAAUUAUCUUAUAUUUAAUAUAUUAUAUUUAAUAUACAAUCUAUUAAAUUUAUAUGCAUUCUGUUGAAUAAAUACAAGUACAUAUAAUAUUUUAGAGUUAUUUUAAAUUAGUUGUUUCCUGUAGCUUAAUUGCAUGACAAGUUUGCUUUUUUAUGUCUUAUAAAAUCUUCACUCAGACUUUGUCUCAUUUUUACAAUACUCAUUAUUUUCUGAAACUCAUACUGGAUCAAGCUAUUUCAUCUAAAAUUUGCCAGAGAUCCAUCAAUAUAUUCUGCUGCCUGGGGUAUUAAAUUUGAUGAAACAUUCCUUGUGAGUAGAAAACAAAAACAAUUGUAAACAAAGAUCAGAAAUAGAAACUUUCAGAUUACUGUUGGAAGCAUGUCAGUAUUAAAAGAACACUAAGUUUAUUUAAUAAAUGAUCCUUUGAACUAAUCUCAAUAUUAUUAUAACACCUAUUAAAUCAGAUACACAAAACAGGUCAUAAGAGCUACCCUUACUUGAUGGUUUAGUAUCAUAAUUAUUUAUACUAAAAAUGUUAAUAAAAUACUAAUAAAAUCCAUAACUUAGGUACUUUUUUAAAAAAGUAGGCUCCAUGGCCAGUUU